CUUACUUGUAAUGGCUUAAGAAUUAUUGCAAACACUUCAUUUGAUUUCAUUUCAAUUGGCAUUGCAAUUUCAUUAAAUUUUGCGUUUGCCUUGGCAUUUCAAUUUAAUUGUAUGAUGCUGUACAUCACGUAUACGCAACGUUGCAGAACACUCCAUUCAAUUUUGUUUAUUUUGUUGAUUAAGUUUUUGUUUUAUUCUUUAUGGGUCUGGCUGCGUCUAAAAUUGUAGUAAGUCUUUUAUAUACUAACUAAUGUGUACAUGUAGUUAUUCUUUUGGCUUUCUUCGGUUAUAUAAUUAGUUGUGUGAUGAAUGCAGGGCCUCUGUCAACAAACCGCAGUACGAGUAUAGCUCGCCUAUUUACACAGUAUUUAUCAUAUAUUCUUUAGGUUUUAGUCUUGAGAAAUCAGAGCUUUAUAAUAGAUCCAAAGUUAUACGUACAUAUUUACAAUUUAUAGUUUAAAGAAACUCAUCGAAAUUUAAAAGAAACAAACAUUUUAAUUUUAAUUUAAAUAUGUCUCUUAUUCAAGAUUAAUUUUAAUAUAUUUAUGAAUG
rnacentral:lncRNA from 1 species